rnacentral:rRNA from 1 species
GAUGAACGCUGGCGGCGUGCCUAAUACAUGCAAGUCGAGCGAACAGACGAGGAGCUUGCUCCUUUGACGUUAGCGGCGGACGGGUGAGUAACGCGUGGGUAACCUACCUAUAAGACUGGGAUAACUUCGGGAAACCGGAGCUAAUACCGGAUAAUAUUUCGAACCGCAUGGUUCGAUACUGAAAGAUGGCUUUGCUAUCACUUAUAGAUGGACCUGCGCCGUAUUAGCUAGUUGGUAAGGUAACGGCUUACCAAGGCAACGAUACGUAGCCGACCUGAGAGGGUGAUCGGCCACACUGGAACUGAGACACGGUCCAGACUCCUACGGGAGGCAGCAGUAGGGAAUCUUCCGCAAUGGGCGAAAGCCUGACGGAGCAACGCCGCGUGAGUGAUGAAGGUAUUCGGAUCGUAAAACUCUGUUAUUAGGGAAGAAUAAACGUGUAAGUAACUGUGCACGUCUUGACGGUACCUAAUCAGAAAGCCACGGCUAACUACGUG